GGGCACUUAGCUCAGUUGGUAGAGCACACGAUUUUUAAUCGUUAGGUCAUAGGUUCGAAUCCUAUAGUGCCCACCA
rnacentral:tRNA from 2 species